rnacentral:rRNA from 1 species
GACGAGUCUCACGAACGUUAUUCGGAAUUACUGGGCUUAAAGGGUGCGUAGGCGGUGGAGUAAGUCGGAUGUGAAAUACCAUAGUUUAACUAUGGAACUGCACUCGAUACUACUUUGCUAGAGUAAGACAGAGGUGAGUGGAACUGAGGGUGGAGCGGUGAAAUGCGUUGAUAUCCUCAGGAACACCGGUGGCGAAGGCGACUCACUGGGUCUUUACUGACGCUGGUGCACGAAAGCUAGGGUAGCAAACGGG